GGGGUGUGGGGUUCCAAAAUUCCUAGGGUUUGGCCGCCUGUGGGGUUUUUUAAUCGCGAGAGCCGCUCGUGGGGAUUUCAUUUCUUGUGGGCGGUCACUUGCGAGGUGUGCCUUUGAAUAAAGCACAGUGCUCAAAGCAGGCGUAUGCUCGUAUGUUAUAGCAUGGAACGAUUAAGUUGAUCUUGUCGACUGUUGGUUGUUGACAUUGGUCUCGAUUAAAAGGGACAUUUGAGGGCGUUAGUACUUGGUGGCGAGGGGUGAAAUCCUUAGACCCAUCAAAGACUAACUAAUGCGAAAGCAUUCGCCAAGAGUGUUUUCAUUAAUCAAGAACGAAAGUAGGAGGUUCGAAGACGAUCAGAUACCGUCCUAGUUCCUUACAGUAAACUAUGCCAACAUGGGAUUAGCCCGGUUUAAUCCAGGUUGGGCCCUCGGUGAAAAUAAGUGUUUCGGCUUCGGGGAGAGUGCGCACGCAAGUGGUAAAUUUAAAGAAAUUGACGGAAUGGCACCACCAGGAGUGGAGCCUGCGGCUUAAUUUGAUUCAACACGGGGAAACUCACCAGGUCCAGACAUUGAUAGGAUUGACAGACUGAGAGAUCUUUCAUGAUUUGAUGAUUGGUGGUGCAUGGCCGUUCUUAGUUGGUGGAGUGAUCUGUCAGGUUUAUUCCGGUAACGAGCGAGACCACGAUCUUUAAUUGAUUACGACCAUAUUGUCUUGGUCGAUUUUAAAGAGACCACCGGAGUUAAGCCGGGGGAAGCGUGGCAAUAACAGGUCUGUGAUGCCCUUCGAUGUUCUGGGCUGCACGUGUGCUACAAUGAUAGUGACAACAAGUCCCUGCUUUGAGAUAGGUGGGAAAUCUUGAAAAUCGCUGUCUUGCUUUGGACUGAGCCUUGUAAUAAUUGCUCACGAAAGAGGAAUUCCUCGUAAGCCGCGAUGGACAACGCU
rnacentral:rRNA from 1 species